rnacentral:misc_RNA from 1 species
UGUGCUGGCACCUGCGUCCGUCUGUGCGCCGGUCGUUGUCUCCUCCCCCGCGCCCUUUGCCUUCGGGUGCCUUCUCUUCAUAAUACACGUUCACAGCCGAUUUUUGGUGCCAACGCACCCACACCCUUAUUUUAUUCUACACGCAUUCAGCCCCCCCUCGUUCUGCAAUGUUCCGCCCCGCCGAGGAUCACAUGCAGCGCAUGGCGGGCUACCACAUGCAGCGUGGCGCCGUACAUGAUAUGGGCAUGAUCCUCCGCAUGGAAGAAGAGCAGAUGCUCAUGAGGCAGAUGCAGGAGAUGGAGAUGAUGCAGAUGCAGGCCAUGGGCGGCAUGCCACCCUGUGGGGACGGGCAGUGGGCCUCCCCGCAACAGCAGCAGCAAAGCGUGGGCAGCUUACCGGGGCCCACUGGACCUGUGAGUUUGCCUGAUACCAUACCGAGCUCGACUGUCCAGCCUCCAGCGGCCCGCGCGGGCAACGCGUCCACCUCUCCUCAAUGGGCGGUCAAUCCGACGAUCAAAGGCGAUGCGAACAGCCAGUCUCCGUCUACCACUGCUGCCAGUCGCGGCCUUGGUCUUGAUGGUGUGCCAUCUCCGCUGGGAACCUCCUCCACCCACGCGCCGAAAGGCCUCUACAGCACGACGCCGUCCAUGAAUGAUGCCAAUGGUCCCGCCGCGGCGCACGAUACAAUGUACAAUGUCAGCAGCGUGUACGGUGGCAACCCCAGCGCCUAUGCCCCGGCAUUCACGGGCGGCGGCCUCAACGAGAAUGGCUCCAGCGCUGUCGGCUACUCCAUGUACGACGCAAACAACGCCAGCAGCAUGUACCAGCAGCCAUCGCCGUCUUCGGGUGCAACUAACGCGAGUGACGCGAAGGCCGCGCCUGCUGCUGGCGCUCCCGCCCCUGGCAACGCUUCGAAGGCAGUCACACCGGCGCUGCAGCGCAAGUCGUCGGCCACUUCCCUCGAAAAGAAGAGCUCCACGGCCAGCAUGAACCCGAGCGACAGUGCCUCCGCCUCAACGACGCACCGCAGCCGCGAGAUUCGCCAGAAGAACAGCGAGCUGAAGCGGCAGAACUCUAGUGGUAUCAUCAACGGCGGCUCCUCCAGCCGCCCCGCCUCCGCAGAAAAGCGCUCGUCCUCAAGGCACAAGAACAAGUGCCCGUCUUCCCCGUCCUCCUCCAAGGACAAGAAUACGCGCCAGGCGUUCGCAUCGUCCUCUGCCAGGGACAAAGGCAAGAAGCACCACUAGUACCCAUCGUCGGCCAAGCAGAGCUCCCAUCACACGUAAUGGGUAGGCGUCUGAUUCGCGAGAGCGACUAAACUGAGGUGCUGAGGCCAACGUAGCAGGUGUGCCUCGAUGCACUAAGCUUGUUUUCCCCUCAAUGCCACGUCGACAGAUUGAGCAGGCGCGCAGUUGUAGAUGCACUCCCACGUGAAAAGCUGUAAUGCGCGCCGUAAACCGUGGAAAACGACGCUUUUUCUUCUCGAGUGGUGUCCGCACCCGGAGAAAGGUAUGUGCUGCUUCGUGCAAGCAGCCCUGCGGGCUUUCUGUAUGCCGUUUUAGCGUGCGGACGCCUACUGUGUUCUCUGCUAUGUGCUUAUUUAUUUGGCCUGUGUGUUUCCAAGAUCAUCGCCUUCGCUGUUGUAUUGUGUCCCUCCAUCGCCAUCCUUUUUUUUUUCGUUGUUGUUGUUGUGCUCGCUUUACCUCGUGCACGCGUCGUUCUUCAUGACGGCGUACGGGCAAAGGGAGGCAACGGUGCGUCGUCGUCUUCCUUAUUCGCGUUUGUAUGUGCAUGUCCCUGUGCACAUACGUCGCCGAGCCUCCCUCCCGCCCUAUCUCUCUGUUUAUGUGUGUUACUGUGCCCUUCAGUUCUUCCAGUUGGUGCUUUUUUUUUGUUUGUUUGUUUUUUUGCUGUCUUUGUUCGAGGGGGAAGCGUGAGAUGUUCCUUUUCGUCACGGCUGUGCUAGUCGCUUGGUCUCUGACUUGAUCAUUUAAGCUGCAUGGCGCGCCGCAACCGCCUUUCGUUCUGACGCUCUGAUCCCCAUGUGUGUUUCUUGUUUACUCCCUCCCUGUCUGUUGAUCUCUAUAUGCCGGUGUACACUUCUGUGUCGAUGGCAUGGCCAGCGAAGUAGACAACGCGGCCGGCCAGCGUGCAACGACAGUUCGACGCAGAAUAGAAUGAUCAGUGCGACGUUUUAACGUGCGUGACGCCGCGGUCAUGCACGAUUAGUCCAUCUCGGGGUGAAGCGUCCUCCAGCAACGCGACUGUGUUUCUCGUUUGCUCGCCGCACGCCGAUCUCGAUGGAGUAGAACGUGGAAACGAAGGAAAAAAAGGAUUCAUGAUUCUUUACGUUGUUCUUUUCUUUUUGUUGUUGUUCUUCCUUGCGCAUCCCUCAUCCUUUCGUUUUGUUUUUCUGUCGUUGUUGUCGCACGUUCUGUGGUCGCCCGCUUCCUCAUUGUGGCUUCCAUAGUCCUUGUUCUGUUUUGUUCGUCUCUCCCUAUGCCUUUCACACGCUCUGUUCCCCAUGUGCACAGCAUCGAUGCGCUCUUCACUGAGUGUUUUUUUUUCUUUUCCCUCUCCCUCUCUCCCCCUCUCUGCGCGCUUGAGGUGAAACGUUGCACUGCUGCGAUUACCGUAGUCAGUGAAGGCUCGGCCCCUUCUGUUGCCGUCUUCAUCUCUCCCUAUUUCCGUUCUUUGGCUGUGCCCUGCAUCUGUCUUUCCUGCACACCAGUGCUGCGUGCUCGCUGUGUAUGACGUGUGGUUUCCUCGCGUUCUUCUGCAUGUCUUGUGUGUUUGCCCCUACACGCAAGGCUCACUGUUCCAUCUUGAGGUCCCCGCGCCCGGGAAGGGGGAUGGAGCGGGAACUCUGAGAUGUGGGAGUAGCGCAAGACUCGGAGUCGUCGCCAGAAGCACAAGCCUGCUGCCGUACGAAGCGCCCAGCGCUGUCGCCGUUCUCGCAUGCCUUUCUCUCAGCUCGUCUGACUCUCUACAUCGCCCUCUUUUGCAGACUUCUGAAAAGACAGGGCAGGGGAGGGGGGUUGCGCAAGGCAGCCGCAUCGCAUCUGUGCGUCUCUGGACUGCCCGUCGCCGCCCUUCUUUCGAUGUCUGUGCAUCUUUUUCUGUUCGAUCCACUCGACGGCGCGUGCGAACUGCUUGCGCGUGUGCUGAUGAUCGGCGGGUCAGACGAGAUAGGCGCAGGCUUGACGGCACGCGUAGCUGCGUCUGGGUGUCUUGCUGCACAUGUGCGUGUUUGCUGGCUGCGUUGCGCCUUUCAGCGCCUCUGCUAUAGUGCUUGUUCUUUCUUGUGUCGUUUCUACCGUCACCAACGGUCCGGCCCUGCGGUAGAUAUAGCCGUUGUCUUCGGAUAUAACCUAGUCAUCAUCGUUGUGUCGCUCGAUGUCUGCCCUUGGUCUUCCAUUCACUGUCAGCGUUGGUUCGGUGGUAGGGCUGGUGCUGUCUCUCUCCUCUGUUUUUUGCUGUUGUCGUUCGAGCCUGGUAUGC